AUUGAACGCUGGCGGCAUGCCUUACACAUGCAAGUCGAACGGUAACGCGGGGCAACCUGGCGACGAGUGGCGAACGGGUGAGUAAUGCAUCGGAACGUACCCAGUAGUGGGGGAUAGCCCGGCGAAAAGCCGGAUUAAUACCGCAUACGACCUACGGGUGAAAGGGGGGGAUCGCAAGACCUCUCGCUAUUGGAGCGGCCGAUGUCAGAUUAGGUAGUUGGUGGGGUAAAAGCCUACCAAGCCUGUGAUCUGUAGCUGGUCUGAGAGGACGACCAGCCACACUGGGACUGAGACACGGCCCAGACUCCUACGGGAGGCAGCAGUGGGGAAUUUUGGACAAUGGGCGCAAGCCUGAUCCAGCAAUGCCGCGUGCGGGAAGAAGGCCUCGGUU
rnacentral:rRNA from 1 species